GACGAACGCUGGCGGCGUGCUUAACACAUGCAAGUCGAACGGAAAGGCCCUGCUUUUGUGGGGUGCGCGAGUGGCGAACGGGUGAGUAACACGUGAGUAACCUGCCCUUGACUGUGGGAUAACUUCAGGAAACUGGGGCUCAUACCGGAUAGGAGCUCCUGCUGCAUGGUGGGGGUUGGAAAGUUUCGGCGGUUGGGGAUGGACUCGCGGCCUAUCAGCUUGUUGGUGGGGUAGUGGCUUACCAAGGCUUUGACGGGUAGCCGGCCUGAGAGGGUGACCGGCCACAUUGGGACUGAGAUACGGCCCAGACUCCUACGGGAGGCAGCAGUGGGGAAUAUUGCACAAUGGGCGGAAGCCUGAUGCAGCAACGCCGCGUGCGGGAUGACGGCCUUCGGGUUGUAAACCGCUUUCGCCUGUGACGAAGCGUGAGUGACGGUAAUGGGUAAAGAAGCACCGGCUAACUACGUG
rnacentral:rRNA from 1 species